rnacentral:rRNA from 1 species
UACGAAGGGUGCAAGCGUUACUCGGAAUUACUGGGCGUAAAGCGUGCGCAGGCGGUUUUGUAAGUCUGACGUGAAAUCCCCGGGCUCAACCUGGGAAUUGCGUUGGAGACUGCAAGGCUAGAAUCUGGCAGAGGGGGGUAGAAUUCCACGUGUAGCAGUGAAAUGCGUAGAGAUCCGGAGGAACACCAAAGGCGAAGGCAGUGUCCUGGGGAGUACCUGACGCUCAGGUGCGAAAGCCAGGGGAGCGGAACGG